rnacentral:rRNA from 1 species
AAUGAACGCUGGCGGCAGGCUUAACACAUGCAAGUCGAACGGGGUUAUAUUGUAGCUUGCUAUGGUAUAACUUAGUGGCAGACGGGUGAGUAAUGUAUAGGAAUCUACCUAGUAGUACGGAAUAAUUGUUGGAAACGGCAACUAAUACCGUAUACGCCCUACGGGGGAAAGAUUUAUUGCUAUUAGAUGAGCCUAUAUUAGAUUAGCUAGUUGGUAAGGUAAUGGCUUACCAAGGCAAUGAUCUAUAGCUGAUCUGAGAGGAUGAUCAGCCACACUGGAACUGAGAUACGGUCCAGCCUCCUACGGGAGGCAGCAGUGGGGAAUAUUGGACAAUGGGCGAAAGCCUGAUCCAGCCAUGCCGCAUGAGUGAAGAAGGCCUUUGGGUUGUAAAGCUCUUUCGGUGAGGAAGAUAGUGACGGUACUCACAGAAGAAGUCCUGGCUAACUCCGUGC